rnacentral:rRNA from 1 species
GAUCAUGGCUCAGGAUGAACGCUAGCGGCAGGCCUAAUACAUGCAAGUCGAACGGUAAAGUCCCCUUCGGGGACUGAGAGUGGCGGACGGGUGCGUAACGCGUAUGCAACCAACCCCCCUCACCGGGAUAGCCGGUGGAAACGCCGGAUAAGACCGGAUGCGCCGGCGGGGAGGCAUCUCCCUGUCGGCAAGGCGGCGACGCGGAGGGGACGGGCAUGCGUGCCAUUAGCUUGUUGGCGGGGCGACGGCCCACCAAGGCGACGAUGGCUAGGGGAUCUGAGAGGACGGUCCCCCACACUGGUACUGAGACACGGACCAGACUCCUGCGGGAGGCAGCAGUAAGGGAUAUUGGUCAAUGGGGGUAACCCUGAACCAGCCAUGCCGCCGUGAGGGAAUGAGGCCCUACGGGUCGUGAACCUCUUUUAUCUGGGGACAAUACGGGGCACGCGAUGCCCCGUUGAGGGUACCAGAAGAAUAAGCAUCGGCUAACUCCGUGCCAGCCGCUGC